rnacentral:lncRNA from 1 species
GGGCACUGUACCAGCAGCAUGAAUCCCGCCUUGGUGAGGGGAGGGAGACUCGCUCCCCACGGCGGGACCACUGGCAAGCAGGUGUUAGCAGAGGUUUCUGGGCUGUCACCUGGUUAUUGUGCAGGUGUCUCCUUCAAAUCAUGGAAGGAAACAAUGGCUCUGACUCAGGGAUGAGAAUCCAGGACCUCCACCAGUAAUUACACAAAGUGAUGUGUGGCAGAGCACACGACCUGGAGUAGACGCUCUCAGUGGAGAGAACGGGUCCGUGUAAUAAUUAUCCCUCAUAUUUGAAUAGGACUUUCUAAGCACUUUCUACAAAGCACUUUCUAAUAUGUUACAGGGCUAACUGAGUGUCAAUGAUUAACAGAUACCUAAGCAGAAAGAGAGACAGUCUUUGGUCCACUUAACAGUGGGGAAUGGUUCUGUGGUUCCCCGGGGAACAGGCAGAGCUGUGAGUGUUUGAUCUUGGCACAAAAUGAUUCUGACCGCUACUAUUCUUUCUAUCAGGAAUGGAGAUUUAAUUAAAUACCGAUUUGUCUUUAACAACUUUGAAACACCCUUUUCACCAUGAGAGCUCCAAGUGAUUUGCAAGGGAAUAGGAGGUAGCUUACUGGGGCCCAGAGAAAACAUUCCAAAGCACAAGUCUGGGUUUCUGUAUUUAUUUACUCUUUGUGUCUCUGCUUCUCUAGCUCUGUGUCAUACACACACACAUCCCUAUGGAUGGCAAGUGAGGAAGACACACUGUUAAAAACACUCAGACAUGGUCAAGUCAGAGAAAAUGCCACAGCCCUCUAGAACCAUAUUCUGUAUACCAACAAUGCCUGAGAUGAUUUUUUUUCCUGACCUCCAGAUGCCCGUUUUACCAGGUUAUCAGCAGGUUAUCCUAAGGCCCACCCUCUAUUAAGGAAGUCAGAGUAGGGGUCCAGGAGUCUGCAUUUAACAAGCCUUUCUGGUAAUGCGAAUGCUAGGAGUAGGAGGACCCCACCUUGCGAGAUCCCACUCCAGCAUUUGCCAUCCACGUGUUGGAGAAUAUAUGGACCAAGCCAGCCUAGUAAAUCGUUUCCCCCUCUUCCCCAUUUGAAUCCCUCAGGAUUUACACCUUGGGGGAAGCCGAGCGUUUCCCUGACAACAGAUGACUAAUAUAGAAGUCCCUGUGAACAGGCGGAAGACAGGGGUGGACAAGAGAAACAAUGUGGACAGGUCUCAAGUUGAAACAACAGGCUCUUGACAGUCUCAGGCACACACACUGACAGGGAGGGGCCCUGGGGCUCAGGCAGGGGAGACACUGCCUAAGGA